rnacentral:sRNA from 1 species
GCAUAUCAAUAAGCGGAGGAAAAGAAACUAACAAGGAUUCCCCUAGUAACGGCGAGUGAACCGGGAAGAGCUCAAAUUUGAAAUCUGGCGUCCUCAGGGCGUCCGAGUUGUAAUCUAUAGAGGCGUUUUCCGUGCCGGACCGUGUCCAAGUUCCUUGGAACAGGAUAUCAAAGAGGGUGACAAUCCCGUACUUGACACGACGACCGGUGCUCUGUGAUACGUCUUCUACGAGUCGAGUUGUUUGGGAAUGCAGCUCAAAAUGGGUGGUGAGUUCCAUCUAAAGCUAAAUAUUGGCGAGAGACCGAUAGCGAACAAGUACCGUGAGGGAAAGAUGAAAAGCACUUUGGAAAGAGAGUUAAACAGUACGUGAAAUUGUUGAAAGGGAAACGAUUGAAGUCAGUCGUGACCGAGAGGCUCAGCCGGUUCUGCCGGUGUAUUCCCCUCGGUCGGGUCAACAUCAGUUUUGUCCGGUGGAUAAGGGCGGUAGGAAGGUGGCACCCUCGGGUGUGUUAUAGCCUGCCGUCGCAUACAUCGGGUGAGACUGAGGAACGCAGCUCGCCUUUAUGGCCGGGGUUCGCCCACGUCCGAGCUUAGGAUGUUGACAUAAUGGCUUUAAACGACCCGUCUUGAAACACGGACC